CGUCAUCCGUCGCCUGUUCUUUCCCCCCUCAGUUCGCCCUUGAUGUUUCUGUGUGCCCUGCUGUGGCUGAGGGACAUGGGUUACUGGUCUUACCUGGUCUCUUACCUUUCUAUUGAGCUAUUGUCGGUGUUGGUGUUAGCGCCCUGUGAAACCCUGGUCUCCUUAAUACGUGGAUGGCUGUUGAGCAUCUUUCUCUUCCCGCCGUUUGCAUGAUCUGCUCUCACCGAUGCACAUAACAUGCAGGUGAAUUUCCCCGCGGCAAUAGUAUAUUUAAACGGAAAAACUUUCCCCUUGAACGGCUCUUGACGGGCUGAUAUUCUCCCGCAUAUUCUGUAUUGAGCUAUUUAUUACCUGUGCACCACCUGGAAAGACGGAUACGUUCUUCAUACCUCCACGUUUUAUCUGCAUACACGGUUCACCAGGGCAUUAACUACUUCCCUGACAUUACCGCUGUUGGAUCGUAUGUUCCUCAUUUAAUAUUCGUAACCCUUGUCCUGAAGACUAUUAUUUAUAUUAUUUACACUUUAAGGGAUGAACGUGUUCUGCUCAGACUCUACCACUGAUAUAUUGUCUUGUGAGACAGAUCUUACUCUAUACCGGAGGAAGAGCAAUUGCUCUUCUCCCGUGACUAGAUUAAUGCUCCACCACUCCUGCCAUCCACCGUGAUAUGAAUCUGAGGCAAUCCCGGACGACCACGGUGACCGGACACGACCACUUCACGUCUUAUCUUCCACUUGCUAUUCGACAUCAUCCCUUCGUUCUUGAUCUUACCCGCUAUCAAUUGACCGGUUUUAACAUUAUAUCGGCCAUUUGCCGGUUUC
rnacentral:rRNA from 1 species